ACCUUGGUGGUCGAAUGGUUAAGACGCCUGUCCAACAAGCAAGGAGAUCCGGGUUCGAUUCCCGGCUGAGGUG